rnacentral:RNase_P_RNA from 20 species
AGGAGUUGGUGCGGUGGUCGCGGGCCGGGCAACCGGCCUGAGGAAAGUCCGGGCUCCCCAACGAGCGGAUUGCUGGGUAACGCCCAGUGCGCGCGAGCGUGAGGAUAGUGCCACAGAAACAUACCGCCGAUGGGGGCGCUUGCGCCCCGCAGGUAAGGGUGCAAAGGUGCGGUAAGAGCGCACCAGCGGCAUCGAGAGGUGCCGGCUCGGUAAACCCCGUCCUGAGCAAGGCGGGGGACACGUGGGUUGCUCGUUGACCGUCCCCCAACACGCCGCUUGAGGCGCCGGGCAACCGGCGUCCCAGAUAGAUGACCGCCCCGCCGCGGCUCUGCUGCGGUGGAACAGAACCCGGCUUACGUCCGGCUCCUCCAC